rnacentral:ncRNA from 1 species
AUAGCGACAAUGAAGAGGAAUAGUAGAAAGAACUUUGUUUUAGAGAACGUAUGGCUGGUGAAAAUACGUACAAAAGCUUUUGAACUCGCCUUUGAGUUAUUCUAUUGAAUCGUAGUAGGUAGAAUCGGUGACGACCGUUACAACGUUGAAGGCUUACAAUGACGGAAGUAUUUGUAAGUAAAAAUAGGUGGUACCACGUUGCAUGUCUACGUCCUAUAG